UCGCGCGCAGGACUGAAGCCCCACCAAGUGAUGCAGCCCGCACCCUCAGAUGCCCGUCCAGCACUCAUACUGCAAAAAAAGGCAAACGAAGGCGUGCACCCCGUCGGUUUACGUCAAGACAAAACAAACUUCGAACAAUCUUCACAUAUGGGUCUUGUGAAAGAGGAAGUGAAGGGUCUAAAACCUGCAGGACACCAGUCCUUGAGGCCUGGAGUUCCCCACCCCUGCUCUACACAAAGGAGACCAGGAGAGAUGAAGGUUGAAGAGCAUAGGACAACUCUAAGCCAGAUGCUCAACAUGGCUGACCCUAAUCCCUCUGUUACUCUCAUGCUCUCCUCCAUCUCAUGGCCCACGCUUUCACUCCCACGUUCAGCCCAUCCCCAUUUCUCUCUCAUCACUGACUCUGCUGUGGACUGGAUUAAACUAUGCCUCUACAAUAUUAAUCCAAAACCACAGAUUCUCAAAGCUUUAAAAAAUAGGAUUCGGUGUCUUUCUUGUGGCUUUUCCUCUGGCUUGUUGAAGACCCUGCACACCUAUCAAUCCUUGGGUAUGCUGUUGACUAGAACUGGCAGGCUCCCUGCAACCCUUUCCACCAAAGCUAAAGCACUGGCAAAUCACUAGAGAAAUGUUGUCAUUUAAUCCCCCCACUUCCCCCCCUCCUACUGAUAUUAGAAGGCAGACAACACAUCUGUUGCUUUACGUCUGACUAAAGAAAAAUAAAGACCAUCAUUCACCUUU